rnacentral:rRNA from 1 species
UACGGGGGGGGCAAGCGUUGUUCGGAAUUACUGGGCGUAAAGAGCUCGUAGGCGGCUUGUCGCGUCGAGUGUGAAAUCCUGCGGCUCAACUGCAGGCUUGCAUUCGAUACGGGCAGGCUGGAGUUCGGUAGGGGAGACUGGAAUUCCUGGUGUAGCGGUGAAAUGCGCAGAUAUCAGGAGGAACACCAGUGGCGAAGGCGACACGCUGGGCCGUACCUGACACUGAUGCGCGACAGCAUGGGGAGCAAACAGG